rnacentral:rRNA from 1 species
AUUGAACGCUGGCGGCAGGCUUAACACAUGCAAGUCGAGCGGAGAUGAGGUGCUUGCACCUUAUCUUAGCGGCGGACGGGUGAGUAAUGCUUAGGAAUCUGCCUAUUAGUGGGGGACAACAUUCCGAAAGGAAUGCUAAUACCGCAUACGUCCUACGGGAGAAAGCAGGGGAUCUUCGGACCUUGCGCUAAUAGAUGAGCCUAAGUCGGAUUAGCUAGUUGGUGGGGUAAAGGCCUACCAAGGCGACGAUCUGUAGCGGGUCUGAGAGGAUGAUCCGCCACCAUGGGACUGAGACACGGCCCAGACUCCUACGGGAGGCAGCAGUGGGGAAUAUUGAACAAUGGGGGAAACCCUGAUCCAGCCAUGCCGCGUGUGUGAAGAAGGCCUUAUGGUUGUAAAGCACUUUAAGCGAGGAGGAGGCUACUGAGACUAAUACUCUUGGAUAGUGGACGUUACUCGCAGAAUAAGCACCGGCUAACUCUGUGCCAGCAGCCGCCGUAACAC